rnacentral:rRNA from 1 species
ACGAACGCUUGCGGCGUGCUUAACACAUGCAAGUCGAACGGAAAGGCCCUGCUUUUGUGGGGUGCUCGAGUGGCGAACGGGUGAGUAACACGUUAGUAACCUGCCCUUGACUUUGGGAUAACUUCAGGAAACUGGGGCUAAUACCGGAUAGGAGCUCCUGCUGCAUGGUGGGGGUUGGAAAGUUUCGGCGGUUGGGGAUGGACUCGCGGCUUAUCAGCUUGUUGGUGGGGUAGUGGCUUACCAAGGCUUUGACGGGUAGCCGGCCUGAGAGGGUGACCGGCCACAUUGGGACUGAGAUACGGCCCAGACUCCUACGGGAGGCAGGAGUGGGGAAUAUUGCACAAUGGGCGGAAGCCUGAUGCAGCAACGCCGCGUGCGGGAUGACGGCCUUCGGGUUGUAAACCGCUUUCGCCUGUGACGAAGCGUGAGUGACGGUAAUGGGUAAAGAAGCACCGGCUAACUACGUG